GUAGGUAUAGUUUAAUCAAAACGUUAGAUUGUGAUUCUAAAAAUAAAAGUUAAACCCUUUUUACCCACC
rnacentral:tRNA from 1 species